GGCGGCAGGGUAGCCUAGUGGUUAGAGUGUAGAGGUGACAGGGUAGCCUAGUGGUUAGAGUGUAGAGGCGGCAGGGUAGCCUAGUGGUUAGAGUGUAGAGGCGGCAGGGUAGCCUAGUGGUUAGAGUGUAGAGGCGGCAGGGUAGCCUAGUGGUUAGAGUGUAGAGGCGGCAGGGUAGCCUAGUGGUUAGAGUGUAGAGGUGACAGGGUAGCCUAGUGGUUAGAGUGGAGGGGCGGCAGGGUAGCCUAGUGGUUAGAGUGUUGGACUAGUAACCGGAAGGUUGCAAGUUCAAACCCCCGAGCUGACAAGGUACAAAUCUGUCGUUCUGCCCCUGAACAGGCAGUUAACCCACUGUUCCUAGACCAGUUAACCCACUGUUCCUAGACCAGUUAACCCACUGUUCCUAGACCAGUUAACCCACUGUUCCUAGGCCAGUUAACCCACUGUUCCUAGGCCAGUUAACCCACUGUUCCUAGACCAGUUAACCCACUGUUCCUAGGCCAGUUAACCCACUGUUCCUAGGCCAGUUAACCCCACUGUUC
ensembl:lncRNA